UUGACCUCAAAUCAGGUAGGACUACCCGCUGAACUUAAGCAUAUCAAUAAGCGGAGGAAAAGAAACUAACAAGGAUUCCCCUAGUAACUGCGAGUGAAGCGGGAAAAGCUCAAAUUUGAAAUCUGGCGGUUUUUUGACUGUCCGAGUUGUAAUCUAGAGAAGUGUUACCUGUGCUGAACCGUGUACAAGUCUCCUGGAAUGGAGCAUCAUAGAGGGUGAGAAUCCCGUCUUUGACACGGACUACCUGUACAUUGUGGUGCGCUCUCGAAGAGUCGAGUUGUUUGGGAAUGCAGCUCAAAAUGGGUGGUAAAUGCCAUCUAAAGCUAAAUAUUGGCGAGAGACCGAUAGCGAACAAGUACCGUGAGGGAAAGAUGAAAAGAACUUUGGAAAGAGAGUUAAACAGUACGUGAAAUUGCUGAAAGGGAAACGCUUGAAGUCAGACACGUUGGCUAGAAAUCAGCCCUGCUCUUGCUUGGUGUACUUUCUGGUUGAUGGGUCAGCAUCAAUUUUGACCAUUGGAUAAAGUCUCUGGGAAUGUGGCAUCUUUGGAUGUGUUAUAGCCCAGGGUCGCAUGCAGUGGUUGGGAUUGAGGAACUCAGCACGCCGCAAGGCCGGGUUUCGACCACGUUCGUGCUUAGGAUGCUGGCAUAAUGGCUUUAAUYGACCCGUC
rnacentral:rRNA from 1 species